UACAGAGGGUGCAAGCGUUGUUCGGAAUUAUUGGGCGUAAAGGGCGCGUAGGCGGUGCGGUAAGUCUGUAGUGAAAUCUCUGGGCUCAACUCAGAGUCUGCUGCAGAAACUGCCGUGCUUGAGUGUGGGAGAGGUGAGUGGAAUUCCCGGUGUAGCGGUGAAAUUCGUAGAUAUCGGGAGGAAUACCAGUGGCGAAGGCGGCGACCUGGGCCAAUACUGACGCUGAGGUGCGAAAGCGUGGGGAGCAAACAGG
rnacentral:rRNA from 1 species